AUUGAACGCUGGCGGCGUGCUUAACACAUGCAAGUCGAAGAAAGUGGCGAACGGGUGAGUAACACGUGGGAGACCUGCCCUGCACUUCGGGAUAAGCAUGGGAAACUGGGUCUAAUACCGGAUAGUGGGGGAUGGGCCCGCGGCGUAUCGGCUUGUUGGUGGGGUAAUGGCCUACCAAGGCGGCGCAGGCUAGCCGGCCUGAGAGGGGGGACGGCCACAUUGGGACUGAGACACGGCCCAGACUCCUACUGGAGGCAGCAGUGGGGAAUAUUGCACAAUGGGCGGAAGCCUGAUGCAGCGACGCCGCGUGGGGGAUGACGGCCUUCGGGUUGGAAACUCCUUUCACCAUCGACGCGGUAGAUGGAGAAGAAGCACCGGCUAACUACGUGCCAGCAGCCGCGGUAAUUC
rnacentral:rRNA from 1 species